UGCUUACACCUGCAGUCGAACGAUGAAGCCUUUCGGGGUGGAUUAGUGGCGAACGGGUGAGUAACACGUGGGCAAUCUGCCCUUCACUCUGGGACAAGCCCUGGAAACGGGGUCUAAUACCGGAUAAUACUUCUGCCUGCAUGGGUGGGGGUUGAAAGCUCCGGCGGUGAAGGAUGAGCCCGCGGCCUAUCAGCUUGUUGGUGGGGUAAUGGCCUACCAAGGCGACGACGGGUAGCCGGCCUGAGAGGGCGACCGGCCACACUGGGACUGAGACACGGCCCAGACUCCUACGGGAGGCAGCAGUGGGGAAUAUUGCACAAUGGGCGAAAGCCUGAUGCAGCGACGCCGCGUGAGGGAUGACGGCCUUCGGGUUGUAAACCUCUUUCAGCAGGGAAGAAGCGCAAGUGACGGUACCUGCAGAAGAAGCGCCGGCUAACUACGUGCCAGCAGCCGCGGUAAUACGUAGGGCGCAAGCGUUGUCCGGAAUUAUUGGGCGUAAAGAGCUCGUAGGCGGCUUGUCACGUCGGAUGUGAAAGCCCGGGGCUUAACCCCGGGUCUGCAUUCGAUACGGGCUAGCUAGAGUGUGGUAGGGGAGAUCGGAAUUCCUGGUGUAGCGGUGAAAUGCGCAGAUAUCAGGAGGAACACCGGUGGCGAAGGCGGAUCUCUGGGCCAUUACUGACGCUGAGGAGCGAAAGCGUGGGGAGCGAACAGGAUUAGAUACCCUGGUAGUCCACGCCGUAAACGUUGGGAACUAGGUGUUGGCGACAUUCCACGUCGUCGGUGCCGCAGCUAACGCAUUAAGUUCCCCGCCUGGGGAGUACGGCCGCAAG
rnacentral:rRNA from 1 species